GCGAGGAUAGUUUAGUGGUAGAAUAUGACGUUGCCAACGUUGUGACCCGGGUUCGAACCCCGGUCCCCGCA
rnacentral:tRNA from 1 species